UCCCUCUCGGGAUCGCACCUGGAGAGUUUUCAGUACUCUACCAGUCUCGGCUAUGGGAAGGAGAGUCAAGCAGAGCUAUACCCAUUUCAUUCCUAGCUUGGUCAUUGGCUAGUGAGUGGAAAGUCAUCUGCUACAAGU
rnacentral:snoRNA from 1 species